GAUGGACGCUGGCGGCGUGCCUAAUACAUGCAAGUCGAGCGAACGGACGAGAAGCUUGCUUCUCUGAUGUUAGCGGCGGACGGGUGAGUAACACGUGGAUAACCUACCUAUAAGACUGGGAUAACUUCGGGAAACCGUAGCUAAUACCGGAUAAUAUUUUGAACCGCAUGGUUCAAAAGUGAAAGACGGUCUUGCUGUCACUUAUAGAUGGAUCCGCGCUGCAUUAGCUAGUUGGUAAGGUAACGGCUUACCAAGGCAACGAUGCAUAGCCGACCUGAGAGGGUGAUCGGCCACACUGGAACUGAGACACGGUCCAGACUCCUAAGGGAGGCAGCAGUAGGGAAUCUUCCGCAAUGGGCGAAAGCCUGACGGAGCGACGCCGCGUGAGUGAUGAAGGUCUUCGGAUCGUAAAACUCUGUUAUUAGGGAAGAACAUAUGUGUAAGUAACUGUGCACAUCUUGACGGUACCUAAUCAGAAAGCCACGGCUAACUACGUG
rnacentral:rRNA from 1 species